AUAAUACUCCCUCUGUUCGGAAUUACUUGUCAUCAAAAUGGAUGUGUCUAGAACUAAAAUACAUCUUGAUACAUCCAUUUCAAUGACAAGUAUUUUUGACAGAGGGAGUAGUAG
rfam:Triticum aestivum genome assembly, contig: Triticum_aestivum_CS42_TGACv1_scaffold_321908_4BL